rnacentral:rRNA from 1 species
AUUGAACGCUGGCGGCAGGCCUAACACAUGCAAGUCGAACGAGUGGCGGACGGGUGAGUAAUGUCUGGGAAACUGCCCGAUGGAGGGGGAUAACUACUGGAAACGGUAGCUAAUACCGCAUACCAUCGGAUGUGCCCAGAUUGGAUUAGCUAGUAGGUGGGGUAACGGCUCACCUCGGCGACGAUCCCUAGCUGAUCUGAGAGGAUGACCAGGCACACUGGAACGGGGAAACGGUCCAGACUCUUACGGGAGGCAGCAGUGGGGAAGAUGGCACAAGGGGCGCAAGCCUGAUGCAGCCAUGCCGCGUGAAUGAAGAAGGGCUUCGGGUUGUAAAGUACUUUCAGCGAGGAGGCGUUACUCGCAGAAGAAGCACCGGCGAACUCCGGGCCAGCAGCCGAGGUAAUAC